rnacentral:rRNA from 1 species
GACGAACCGAGCGAACGUUGUUCGGAAUCACUGGGCUUAAAGAGCUCGUAGGCGGUCUGUUGCGUCGGCUGUGAAAACCCGGGGCUCAACCCCGGGCCUGCAGCCGAUACGGGCAGACUAGGGUUCGGCAGGGGAGACUGGAAUUCCUGGUGUAGCAGUGAAAUGCGUAGAUAUCAGGAGGAAUACCGAUGGCGAAGGCAGGUCUCUGGGCUGACACUGACGCUCAUGCACGAAAGCGUGGGGAGCAAACAGG